AUGACUCUGACCUGCGUCCUCAUCUGGACUCUCCUCUGCUGCUGCUUCACAGAGUCCAGAGGCCAAGUCACAGUGACUCAGCCUGGAGCAGUGAGAUCAGCUGUGGGAAACUCCGCCACCAUCUCAUGCAGAACCAGUCAGAAUGUUUAUGUUCGGAGUAACUACCACUAUUUAGCCUGGUACCAACAGAGAGAUGGAGAAACUCCUAAACUGCUCAUUUACGCUGCUUCCACUCGAGCAUCAGGGAUUCCAGGUCGUUUUACAGGCAGUGGAUCAAACUCUGACUUCACUCUGACCAUCAGUGGAGUCCAGGCUGAAGAUGCUGCAGUUUACUACUGUCAGAGUUUUCACUACAUCAACAGUCAGAACGUGUUCACACAGUGAAAAAGCGUCGUACAAAAACCUCCGUCAGUCAGACUGAACACAAAGUGAAGUGAGACUGACACAGUUCACUGAGGACACACACACACACACACAUACACACAUACACACUCACACACACAUACACACAUACACACUCACACGCACACACGCACACACACACACACAGACACACACACACACAGCAGCUGUUUGAUGAAGUUUAUUCGAGCGUCUCAGUGGAGACGACUUCAUUACAGUGAAUACAAACAUAAUUAUUAAUCUCCAUCAGACAUGGUUCAGUUCUUUGUCUAACUCUUUUUACACAUUUAUUAAAACAACCUGAUUGCUUC